GUGCGCAGGCGCUUGCGGCUUCGCGGGGCUGACCGUGCGCUUCGCCUGCGGGGUCGUGCUGGGGCGGCGGGUACGCUAUUUGAAGAACAGGUUUCCAUGCUCUUAGAGGAGCAUCAGAAAAUGAACAAACCCCAGGUUUUCCAGGUCUUUGCAGAAGUCCCUGAUGGAAUCACAUGACUGAGCCAGGAAAACCUCAGGACUGGAGUGCCUCAUGAACUGUUGAAGCCCAGGCAAAGUCUCACUCUGCCGCCCAGGCUGGAGUGCAGGGGUACGAUCUCGGCUCACUGCAACUUCUGCCUCCCAAGUUCAAGUGAUUCUCCUGCCUCAACCUCCUGAGUAGCUGGGACUAUAGGUGCAUGCCACCAUGCCCGACUAAUUUUUGUAUUUUUAGUAGAGACGGGGUUUUUCCAUGUUGGCCAGACUGGUCUCGAACUCCUGACCUCAGGUGGUAGACUCGCCUCAGCUUCCCAAAGUGGUGGGAUUACAGGCGUGAAGCACCGCGCUGGGCUAGGAAUUUGGUUUUAUGGUCUGAUCACAUGGUGAUCUCUGUAAUGAGAUUAAUGU
rnacentral:lncRNA from 10 species